AGCGGACGUGGGGUGGCAGGAGCGCGCGUGCGCGCGGCCAGGCAGCCUGGGCGGCGGGUCCUGCUUGUGACGGACGGCGGCGUCCGGUCCUGCCCGUGACGGCGGUGGCGGCCGAUAGUGCCUGUAACAGCUGCGGCGGCUGCUCCAGACACCUGCGGCGGCGCCGGCGGUAACCGCCCGGCGGCCGCGGAGAUGUUGCCCCUGGUGGUGCUGCUGCUGGGCUCAGCGUGCUGCGGUUCAGCUCAGCUAAUAUUUAACAUAACCAAAUCUGUAGAAUACACUGCUUGCAAUGAAAGUGUUACCAUCCCAUGCUUUGUUAAUAAUGUGGAGGCAACAAACAUUAAUGAAAUGUAUGUAAAGUGGAAAUUAAAAGGAAAAGACAUUUUCACCUUUAAUGGAGCUCUACAAAAGACCACUCAUGGAGAUAAGUUUAAGAGUACAAAAAUCGUACCACAAAAAUUACUAACUGGCAUUGCCUCUUUGGAGAUGGAUAAGGAAGAAGCUGUUGUAGGAAACUACACUUGUGAAGUAACUGAAUUAAGCAGAGAAGGUGAAACCGUCAUAGAACUAAAAUACCGAAUUGUUUCAUGGUUUUCUCCAAAUGAAAAUAUCCUCAUUGUUAUUUUCCCAAUUUUGGCUGUACUUCUGUCUUGGGGACAGUUUGGUAUUGUGACAAUUAAAUAUAAAUCCAGUCUUGUGAAGGAGAAAACCAUUCUUUUAUUUGUUGGUGGACUAGUGCUCACUAUAGUUGUCAUUGUUGGAGCCAUUCUUUUUGUCCCAGGUGAAUAUUCAACAAAGAAUUCUUGUGGACUUGGUUUAAUUGUAAUUCCUACUGUGAUACUAAUAUUACUUCAGUACUGUAUGUUUGUAAUAGGUGGUUGGAUUUCUCCUUUCACCAUUGCCAUAUUAAUCCUUCAGGUACUGGGCUAUGUGCUUUCUGUGGUUGGACUAAGCCUCUGUGUCUCAGAGUGCACCCCAGUGCAUGGCCCUCUUCUGAUUUCAGGUUUGGGUAUUAUAGCUCUAGCAGAAUUACUUGGAUUAGUUUAUAUGAAACUUGUUGGCUUAAAUUUGUAGCCUUAAUUGUUACUCUAGAACUUCCAAUCAGAAGACUACACAACCUCCUAGGAAAGCUGUAGAGGAGCCCCUUAAUGAGUAACUGAAGUGAAGUGACGGACUCUGAUUUGGAAAGUAGUUAAGACAUGAAAGGAGUACAAUUGUGUUUGAGCACCAUGGCCUUGGUUCACUGUUCAGGAGAAGAGAACAAGAAAAAUAACUGGUUCUCAUCUGUGGAAAAAAGUAAAUCAUUGACCCUUAAAUGAUUAUUGUUACAGUUUUUAUUCAAAGCAUUUGUAAUGUAGUUAAUAAAAGAAUUAUCAUCUGUGUUGUGUGCCCAAUUGA